GCAACAGGCCCUUAAAGCAUUGCGAAUUCAAACCAAGGCCACAACAGCGGGUCGCUAUUAGUUAGGGGUAAGAUCGACGAUAAACGAAACGAUCUUGUCAAAGUGGAAGCUAUCUUUUGGGCUGAAGCCAAUCCCCAUCGACCCCUUACUCAUCCCAGAAAAACCGUCUUGGAGAAUAGCUCUAACGAAAAAGAUAGUGGGACUGUCCCGCAUUGAGGGAAGAAGGCCCAGCAAAAGCGCUAGCAUCACCAUUACCAUCACGAUGACGCGGUUACGAAGUUGCUCCGUGACUAUAAUAUUGUGAGGCGGCCAAAGGGUCCUCGACCAGUUUUCCUAAGGGGCUCUACAUACCUCGUCGAGGUGGGUAGGAUAAAACAUGAGGAUGUUUGCUGGUGUUAGCAUAACCGGAGAAAAAAGUGCAUUGGCAGCGCCGUGGCUACCAGCUUUCUCACUGUCCCGACCCUUAAAGCGCUUAUCUCGACACUCUGUAUUAGGUCCACGUUGCCGUCCAAGUUUAGAUGGUACCGUCGUUAGCGGACCCAUGAAAGUGGCGCCCGCGGAGGGUUACGUAGACGAGGCAUCUAGAUCGCAGCUGCAAACAAAAAUAUGGAAAUGUAAAGAAAAAUCAAAGCAUUGGAAAGUUUGUUUCCUUUUCUGGCUAAACAAACGCAACGGCUACAACUGUAAAGCAGAGCAGCGCCUCUUGGGGCAAGCAGGAAAUCAAGCGAGCGCUAGAAUACCGAUCCCACCUAGCGAAAAAAACUUGCUCGUAUUAUAUAAUAUAAUACAAGUUAUUGCUACUAGAGCCAAUGGCGCGUGUGCUAUAAUGAUCAAUAAACACUACUUAGUCGCCAUGCGAUCUCAUCGACAGGAGGUUAUUUGUGCUCACUUAUUGCGAGCUACACGUGGUAUCGUGUGGAUUAGAAUCGCAGAACAAUGGUAUUUGUUGAACGAAUAAAAGAGCAGACACCUAUGAUAGGCUGACAUGGAAAUCGUUUGUGAAGAGGAAGCUGGCGAGCAAAGCCUGAGGGAAAGUCACAUCUUAUGGUGAGCUUGACAUUCGUUCCACGAUGCGUCGACAAUAAAAAACCUCUUAGAAUUUCUCUCUGAACUCAGGAGAUUGUUGGCCUUCGCGUUAGUUCAGUUCCGUGACAGUACAAUAGACCAAUCUGGGUUCAACCUAGGCCCUUAAAGCCAUUGAAACUGAUCGAAGCUUGAUCGACCCAGUAGCUCGUGGCACCCAAUUACAAUGCUGAUUGAACCUGAGCUCGGCCGAUGGAUUAUGCCAUCACAGGGAAAAUGGCCCCUCGAAUUAUCAAUUCGCUUCUGGUCGUAUAAAUGGGUCAAACGGAUAUAGCCUUAUUGAUGCCUAGGAGACUACAAUGGAGUAUUUGACAGACUAUUAAUAUAUCAUCGUCGGCUAGAGUUACCACCCACGUACCUGUGAUAGCCGGUAGUCGCCUUGGCCAAUCUGGAUACGACGAUAUCAUUGCGAAGGUCUUUUUAGAACGCGUGUUCUUGUAAUUAAAUUUCAUUUAGAUUUUUACAACUCCAGUGUGUGUAUGUCUGCGUUGAGAAAUACAAAUAUAACAGGGAUUUGUUGCAGAAGUAGUAGCAUUUAACAGAGUGGAAGGAUUGUGGCAUUUCCUCCUCGUAAUACGAUGUUUUCUAGUUGAGAUCAACAUUUAUUUUCCGUUACGAAUCUAUGGAUUCGUUAUUUUUUUUUUUUCUUUCUUUGGCUCUAGUGAGUAUCGAUUUCUGACUUUUAGCCAAUAUAUUGCUGUAAACCCAUCUUGAUAUGGUGAUUCGCUCCUAUCAACGGGGCCUACAAAUGAUCCUUGUUGUAUUAAGCGAAAAGGACGAUCCAAAUCACACAAUCACGUA
rnacentral:lncRNA from 1 species